GACGAACCGAGCGAACGUUGUUCGGAAUCACUGGGCUUAAAGGGCGCGUAGGCGGGUGCUCAAGUCCGGGGUGAAAUCCCACAGCUCAACUGUGGAACUGCCUCGGAUACUGGGUGUCUCGAGGGUGGUAGGGGUAUGCGGAAUUCCAGGUGUAGCGGUGAAAUGCGUAGAUAUCUGGAGGAACACCGGUGGCGAAGGCGGCAUCCUGGACCAACACUGACACUGAGGAGCGAAAGCCAGGGGAGCAAACGGG
rnacentral:rRNA from 1 species